UGUCCAGGGGCGGGAAUCGAACCCACAACCUUCUGCUUACCGGGCAGGUGCCAUGUCCACUUAUUGGAACCUUUUAGAC